ACUCAUUUUGUCAGCAUAUGUACUAAAUUAGAAUGAUGGAGUAAAGAUUAGCCUGACAUCUGCACAAGGAUGACAUGCAAAUUUGUGAAGCAUACCAUGUUUUG